rnacentral:lncRNA from 13 species
UGUACAUUAACCUUGGCUAUGCAGCCCUGCAAAGGGGAGUUGCUCCCGCCUCUACAUUUCCCACCCCGCGUCUCUGCCCUAGUGGUCUCCCCCUCACAGCUGGCGACCCUAGAGGCUAUUUAUUCCUUGAAGGGAAACUGAGGGAGGCCGGAAGUGACUGAGAUCCCACACCGAGAAAAAAAGCAGCAGACACUUACGCACCUGAAGCGAUUCCCGCCUCUCUCCGGAGGGUUCAGGGCGCAGGAAGCUGAGAUACAGGGGAGCGUUUUCAUGGCUUCGGACCUCAAUCUGAAUUCACUCCCAUGCCAAGCGCGGGCUCAAGGGCUCACGCCGCCACCUGCUGGACGCGCCAGUCUCGGGCUGAAUCCAGCUGGGACUAAGGGGAGAUACCAGGCCUCUCAGUCUGCGCACCACAGUGCGGCGAAGCCCGGGCCUACCCGCGAACAGAACACAGACCCGAAUCCCAGUCGCCUCUCGCAUUCCAGAAGCGUCUGCAGGCCCCAGACGACAGAGAGAAUGUUGCCAGGUGGGGGUUCUUGCUAUGUUGCCCAAGUUCAUCUGGAACUCCUGGCCUCAAGCAAUUCUUCAGUCUUAGCCUCCCAAAGCUCUAGGAAUACAGGCUGGAGUGCAAUGGUGCGAUCUCGGCUCGGGACGCAAGCAAGGGAGUGGGCCCAUGAAACUGCCAGUGGGUAUCUAGAGUUAAUCUCAUGGAGAAACUUCCUACCUGAAGUUCAAGGUAAGUGGUUUAAGGCUGCUGGGGUGGUAUGUUAACCUUCUGCCAUUUCUGGACUAUUGUGUAUGUGUCUGGGGUAUAGCAGUUUUCCAAGAGUGGGGCAGGGUGGCUGGGAGCCUGGGCAAAGAAAGGAGAAUCUUGGGGUUGGUUGAGCGUCAGCUGGAGCCCACCGAAAGGCUGGAGGGAUGUGGGUGGGGCACUAACAAUGUCUGCUAUAAUAUACCACUUAGUUUUUUAGGUCAAUCAGU